UACGUAGGGAGCAAGCGUUGUCCGGAAUCAUUGGGCGUAAAGCGCGCGUAGGCGGCCCUGUAAGUCCGUUGUGAAAGUCAAAGGCUCAACCUUUGAAAGCCGAUGGAUACUGCAGGGCUAGAGUCCGGAAGAGGCGAGUGGAAUUCCUGGUGUAGCGGUGGAAUGCGCAGAUAUCAAGGAGGAACACCAAUAGCGAAGGCAGCUCGCUGGGACGGUACUGACGCUAAGGCGCGAAAGCGUGGGGAGCGAACAGGA
rnacentral:rRNA from 1 species